CUACGGGAGGCUGCAGGCGCGUAACCUUUACAAUGCACGAAAGUGUGAUAAGGGGAUCCCAAGUGCUUAACAUUGUUAGGCUUUUGCCAAGUGUAAAUAGCUUGGCGAAUAAGGGGUGGGUAAGACUGGUGCCAGCCGCCGCGGUAACACCAGCGCCCCAAGUGGCAAUCACGUUUAUUGGGCCUAAAGCGUUCGUAGCAGGUUUUGACAAUCUCUUGUGAAAUCGGCAAGCUUAACUUGUCGGCGUGCAGGAGACACUGCAAGACUCGAGACCGGGAGAAGUUAGGAGUAUUUCUGGGGUAACGGUAAAAUGUGUUAAUCCCAGGAGGACUACCAAUGGCGAAGGCACCUAACCAGAACGGAUCUGACUGUGAGGAACGAGAGCUAGGGGAGCAAAACGGAUUAGAUACCCCCGUAGUC
rnacentral:rRNA from 1 species